rnacentral:rRNA from 1 species
CAGUAGCCACGGUAAUACGAAGGGUGCAAGUGUUAAUCGGAAUUACUGGGCGUAAAGCGUGCGUAGGCGGUGAGUUAAGUCUGCUGUGAAAUCCCCGGGCUCAACCUGGGAAUGGCAGUGGAUACUGGCUCGCUAGAGUGUGUCAGAGGAUGGUGGAAUUCCCGGUGUAGCGGUGAAAUGCGUAGAGAUCGGGAGGAACAUCAGUGGCGAAGGCGGCCAUCUGGGACAACACUGACGCUGAGGCACGAAAGCGUGGGGAGCAAACAGGAUUAGAGACCCCUGUAGCCCUGUCUCUUAUACC